AACAUUAAUACCCCCAAAAACACCAAACCAAACAAAACAAAUCAUUUUUUCUCCCCAGUAUAGGCGAUAGAAAAGGACCAUGGAGCUAUAGAUGAAGUACCGCAAGGGAAGGCUGAAAG
rnacentral:rRNA from 1 species